UAGCUGAGCGGCAUAAGCACCUGCCUUGCAAGCAGGCGGUCCUGAGUUCAAUCCCCGG
rnacentral:tRNA from 1 species